UGCAGUCGAGCGAGAAGGGGGGGCAACCCCCCGAGUAGAGCGGCGCACGGGUGAGUAACGCGUGGGUAACCUGCCCCCCGGCGGGGGAUAACUACUCGAAAGGGUAGCUAAUACCGCAUGAGACCACGGGAUCCUCGGAUCCUGAGGCCAAAGGCUGCAUCGGCUUGCCGGUGUAGUCACCAGGGGAUGGGCCCGCGUCCGAUUAGCUGGUUGGUGGGGUAACGGCCCACCAAGGCUCCGAUCGGUAGCUGGUCUGAGAGGAUGAUCAGCCACACUGGAACUGGAACACGGUCCAGACUCCUACGGGAGGCAGCAGUGAGGAAUAUUGCGCAAUGGGGGAAACCCUGACGCAGCAACGCCGCGUGGGUGAAGAAGGCCUUCGGGUCGUAAAGCCCUUUCGGACGGGACGAACGCUCCGCGGGGACAAGCCGCGGAGUCUGACGGUACCGUAGGAAGAAGCACCGGCUAACUCCGUGCCAGCAGCCGCGGUAAUACGGAGGGUGCGAGCGUUGUUCGGAAUUACUGGGCGUAAAGCGCGUGUAGGCGGCCUUGCAAGCCGGACGUGAAAGCCCUCGGCUUAACCGGGGAAGUGCGUCCGGAACUGCUCGGCUCGAGUACGGGAGAGGGAGGCGGAAUUCCCAGUGUAGAGGUGAAAUUCGUAGAUAUUGGGAGGAACACCGGUGGCGAAAGCGGCCUCCUGGACCGAUACUGACGCUGAGACGCGAAAGCGUGGGGAGCAAACAGGAUUAGAUACCCUGAUAGUCCACGCGGUAAACGAUGGGCACUAGUGUGGGGGGUAUCCACUCCUCCCGUGCCGAAGCUAACGCAUUUAGUGCCC
rnacentral:rRNA from 1 species